rnacentral:miRNA from 1 species
CAUAUUUCAAAAAUGGCAUCAC